rnacentral:rRNA from 1 species
GCUUAUCUGCAGUCGAGGGGCAGCAGGUUUGUAGCAAUACAGAUGCUGGCGACCGGCAAACGGGUGCGGAACACGUACAGAACCUAUUUUCGAGCGGGGGAUAGUCCAGAGAAAUUUGGAUUAAUACCCCAUAGUAUAUUUGGAUGGCAUCAUUUGAAUAUUAAAGAUUUAUCACUUGAAGAUGGCUGUGCGUAUGAUUAGGUAGUUGGCGGGGUAACGGCCCACCAAGCCUACGAUCAUUAACUGGUGUGAGAGCACGACCAGUCACACGGGCACUGAGACACGGGCCCGACUCCUACGGGAGGCAGCAGUAAGGAAUAUUGGUCAAUGGACGCAAGUCUGAACCAGCCAUGCCGCGUGGAGGAUGAAGGUCCUCUGGAUUGUAAACUUCUUUUAUCUGGGACGAAAAGAGGGAAUUCUUUCUCGUCUGACGGUACCAGAUGAAUAAGCACCGGCUAACUCCGUGCCAGCAGCCGCGGUAAUACGGAGGGUGCAAGCGUUAUCCGGAUUCACUGGGUUUAAAGGGUGCGUAGGCGGGUAUGUAAGUCCGUGGUGAAAUCUCCGAGCUUAACUCGGAAACUGCCAUGGGUACUGCGUAUCUUGAAUGUUGUGGAGGUGAGCGGAAUAUGUCAUGUAGCGGUGAAAUGCUUAGAUAUGACAUAGAACACCAAUUGCGAAGGCAGCUCACUACACAAAUAUUGACGCUGAGGCACGAAAGCGUGGGGAUCAAACAGGAUUAGAUACCCUGGUAGUCCACGCCCUAAACGAUGAUUACUCGACAUACGCGAUACACAGUGUGUGUCUGAGCGAAAGCAUUAAGUAAUCCACCUGGGAAGUACGACCGCAAGGUUGAAACUCAAAGGAAUUGA